GGAGAGGUACCCAAGUGGCUCAAGGGGCGGGUUUGCUAAACCUGUAGGUUGGGGUAACCCGGCGCGGGGGUUCGAAUCCCCCCCUCUCCGCCA
rnacentral:tRNA from 1 species